rnacentral:rRNA from 1 species
CCCUUGUAUUUUUUUUUUAUUGGAUAAAUUUUUUGAACUAUUUUCAUAAAAUUAAAAAUUUUGGCAGUUGAUUUAUAUAUUAAAGGAGCUUGUUGGAACUAAGAAUUUACACUUUAAAUUUUAAUAAUUAAAUUGUUUGUUUAUUCAUUUCUGUUAUUAAAAUAGUUUUUAAAUAAAGUUUAUUUAAAAUUUCAGGUCAAUAUGUAGCAUUAAUUAUGAAUAAUUAGCUACAAUUAGAUAUUAUUGGUUAAGGAUUAGAAAAGUUUUUAUAAAUUGAAUUUAGUUGUAAUAGGUACUUAUAAUGUUAUUAUGAUUUAGGUUAAUUAAUGU